AGCGUAUACGGUGGAUGCCUAGGCAGUUAGAGGCGAUGAAGGACGUGUAAGUCUGCGAAAAGUUGUGGGGAGCCGACAAAAUGCUUUGAUCCACAAAUGUCCGAAUGGGGAAACCCACCGCUUCGGCGGUAUCAUGCAGUGAAUACAUAGCUGCAUGAGGCAAACGAGGGGAACUGAAACAUCUAAGUACCCUUAGGAAAAGAAAUCAACCGAGAUUCCCCUAGUAGCGGCGAGCGAACGGGGAUUAGCCCUUAAGCUAAUUAUAAGCGAGUGGAAGGUGUUGGAAAGCACAGCGAUACAAGGUGAUAGCCCUGUACACGAACGCGAAUUUUAAGUGAAAUCGAGUAGGUCGGGACACGUGUUAUCUUGACUGAACAUGGGGGGACCAUCCUCCAAGGCUAAAUACUCCUAACUGACCGAUAGUGAACUAGUACCGUGAGGGAAAGGCGAAAAGAACCCCUGUGAGGGGAGUGAAAUAGAACCUGAAACCGUAUACGUACAAGCAGUGGGAGCAGACUUGUUCUGUGACUGCGUACCUUUUGUAUAAUGGGUCAGCGACUUAUAUUUUGUAGCAAGGUUAACCGAAUAGGGGAGCCGUAGCGAAAGCGAGUGUUAACUGCGCGUUUUAGUUGCAAGGUAUAGACCCGAAACCCGGUGAUCUAGCCAUGGGCAGGUUGAAGGUUGAGUAACAUCAACUGGAGGACCGAACCGACUAACGUUGAAAAGUUAGCGGAUGACUUGUGGCUGGGGGUGAAAGGCCAAUCAAACCGGGAGAUAGCUGGUUCUCCCCGAAAGCUAUUUAGGUAGCGCCUCGGACGAAUACCACUGGGGGUAGAGCACUGUUAAGGCUAGGGGGUCAUCCCGACUUACCAACCCUUUGCAAACUCCGAAUACCAGUGAGUACUAUCCGGGAGACACACGGCGGGUGCUAACGUCCGUCGUGAAGAGGGAAACAACCCAGACCGCCAGCUAAGGUCCCAAAAUUAUUGCUAAGUGGGAAACGAUGUGGGAAGGCUAAGACAGCUAGGAGGUUGGCUUAGAAGCAGCCACCCUUUAAAGAAAGCGUAAUAGCUCACUAGUCGAGUCGGCCUGCGCGGAAGAUGUAACGGGGCUAAGCAAUAUACCGAAGCUGCGGACGCAAAGUUUACUUUGCGUGGUAGGGGAGCGUUGUGUAAGUGGCUGAAGGUGAACUGAGAGGUUUGCUGGACAUAUCACAAGUGCGAAUGCUGACAUGAGUAACGAUAAUGCGGGUGAAAAACCCGCACGCCGGAAGACCAAGGUUUCCUGUCCCAUGCUAAUCAGGGCAGGGUAAGUCGGCCCCUAAGGCGAGGCAGAAAUGCGUAGUCGAUGGGAAACGGAUUAAUAUUUCCGUACUUGGUAUAUCAGUGAUGGGGGGACGGAGAAGGUUAUGCAAGCAUAGCGUUGGUUGUCUAUGUGAAAGUGUGUAGGGUUGAAUCUUAGGUAAAUCCGGGAUUCUACAUGCCUGAGACACGAGACGAGACUCUACGGAGUUGAAGUUGCAAAUACCCUGCUUCCAGGAAAAGCCUCUAAACUUAUGAUAUAUCGAACCGUACCCCAAACCGACACAGGUGGUCAGGUAGAGAAUACUAAGGCGCUUGAGAGAACUCGGGUGAAGGAACUCGGCAAAAUCGUACCGUAACUUCGGGAGAAGGUACGCCGCUGUUUGUGAUGAGACUUGCUCUCUAAGCGAAUGGCGGCCGCAGUGAAAAGGUGGCUGGGACUGUUUAUUAAAAACACAGCACUGUGCUAAAUCGAAAGAUGACGUAUACGGUGUGACACCUGCCCGGUGCCGGAAGGUUAAUUGAUGGGGUUAGCGCAAGCGAAGCUCUUGAUCGAAGCCCCGGUAAACGGCGGCCGUAACUAUAACGGUCCUAAGGUAGCGAAAUUCCUUGUCGGGUAAGUUCCGACCUGCACGAAUGGUGUAACCAUGGCCACGCUGUCUCCACCCGAGACUCAGUGAAAUUGAAAUCGCAGUGAAGAUGCUGUGUACCCGCACCUAGACGGAAAGACCCCGUGAACCUUUACUAUAGCUUGGCACUGAACAUUGACCCUACAUGUGUAGGAUAGGUGGGAGACUUUGAAGCCGCGUCGCCAGAUGCGGUGGAGUCUACCUUGAAAUACCACCCUUGUACGUUUGAUGUUCUAACGUUG
rnacentral:rRNA from 1 species